UACGUAGGUGGCGAGCGUUAUCCGGAAUGAUUGGGCGUAAAGGGUGCGUAGGCGGCCUGCUAAGUCUGGAGUGAAAGGUACCGGCUCAACCGGUACAGGCUCUGGAAACUGGCGGGCUAGAGAGCAGGAGAGGGCGGUGGAACUCCAUGUGUAGCGGUAAAAUGCGUAGAUAUAUAGAAGAACACCAGUGGCGAAAGCGGCUCUCUGGUCUGUAACUGACGCUAAGGUUCGAAAGCGUGGGUAGCAAACAGG
rnacentral:rRNA from 1 species